CCUACGGGAGGCAGCAGUGAGGAAUAUUGGUCAAUGGACGAGAGUCUGAACCAGCCAAGUAGCGUGAAGGAUGACUGCCCUAUGGGUUGUAAACUUCUUUUAUAUGGGAAUAAAAUGUUGCACGUGUGGCUUUUUGUAUGUACUUUAUGAAUAAGGAUCGGCUAACUCCGUGCCAGCAGCCGCGGUAAUACGGAGGAUCCGAGCGUUAUCCGGAUUUAUUGGGUUUAAAGGGAGCGUAGGUGGAUUGUUAAGUCAGUUGUGAAAGUUUGCGGCUCAACCGUAAAAUUGCAGUUGAUACUGGCAGUCUUGAGUACAGUAGAGGUGGGCGGAAUGCGUGGUGUAGCGGUGAAAUGCUUAGAUAUCACGAAGAACUCCGAUUGCGAAGGCAGCUCACUGGACUGCAACUGACACUGAUGCUCGAAAGUGUGGGUAUCAAACAGGAUUAGAUACCCUGGUAGUC
rnacentral:rRNA from 1 species